GACGAACGCUGGCGGCGUGCUUAACACAUGCAAGUCGAACGGAAAGGCCCUGCUUUUGUGGGGUGCUCGAGUGGCGAACGGGUGAGUAACACGUGAGUAACCUGCCCUUGACUUUGGGAUAACUUCAGGAAACUGGGGCUAAUACCGGAUAGGAGCUCCUGCUGCAUGGUGGGGGUUGGAAAGUUUCGGCGGUUGGGGAUGGACUCGCGGCCUAUCAGCUUGUUGGUGGGGUAGUGGCUUACCAAGGCUUUGACGGGUAGCCGGCCUGAGAGGGCGACCGGCCACAUUGGGACUGAGAUACGGCCCAGACUCCUACGGGAGGCAGCAGUGGGGAAUAUUGCACAAUGGGCGGAAGCCUGAUGCAGCAACGCCGCGUGCGGGAUGACGGCCUUCGGGUUGUAAACCGCUUUCGCCUGUGACGAAGCGUGAGUGACGGUAAUGGGUAAAGAAGCACCGGCUAACUACGUG
rnacentral:rRNA from 1 species